rnacentral:rRNA from 1 species
AGAGACAGCAGCCGCCACGGUAAUACAGAGGGUGCGAGCGUUAAUCGGAUUUACUGGGCGUAAAGCGUGCGUAGGCGGCUUCUUAAGUCGGAUGUGAAAUCCCUGAGCUUAACUUAGGAAUUGCAUUCGAUACUGGGAAGCUAGAGUAUGGGAGAGGAUGGUAGAAUUCCAGGUGUAGCGGUGAAAUGCGUAGAGAUCUGGAGGAAUACCGAUGGCGAAGGCAGCCAUCUGGCCUAAUACUGACGCUGAGGUACGAAAGCAUGGGGAGCAAACAGGAUUAGAUACCGAGUAGUCCCUGUCUCUUAUACA